UCGAGCGAGAAAUCUUCGGAUGAGUAAAGCGGCGCACGGGUGAGUAACACGUAGGUAACCUGCCUCAAUGACGGGAAUAACCUUCCGAAAGGAGGGCUAAUACCCGAUAAGACCACAGGGACUAAGGUCCAAGGGGUCAAACGGUGCUGUCAAAGGUAUCGCAUUGAGAUGGGCCUGCGGUGCAUUAGCUAGUUGGUGAGGUAAUGGCUCACCAAGGCUAUGAUGCAUAGCUGGUCUGAGAGGACGAUCAGCCACACUGGAACUGAGACACGGUCCAGACUCCUACGGGAGGCAGCAGUGGGGAAUAUUGGGCAAUGGAGGAAACUCUGACCCAGCAACGCCGCGUGGGUGAUGAAGGCCUUCGGGUCGUAAAGCCCUGUUGGGGGGGACAAAACGUCGGAAUAAUAACCCGACCUGAUUUAACCCCCUGAGGAAGCACCGGCUAACUCUGUGCCAGCAGCCGCGGUAAUACAGAGGGUGCAAGCAUUGCUCGGAAUUAUUGGGCGUAAAGGGCGUGUAGGCGGUUCGAUAAGUCAGGUGUGAAAUCCCUGGGCUCAACCCAGGAACUGCAUUUGAUACUGUCGGACUUGAGUACGGUAGAGGAUCGUGGAAUUCCCGGUGUAGAGGUGAAAUUCGUAGAGAUCGGGAGGAACACCAGUGACGAAAGUGGCGAUCUGGGCCGUUACUGACGCUGAGACGCGAGAGCGUGGGGAGCAAACAGGAUUAGAUACCCUGGUAGUCCACGCUGUAAACGAUGAGUACUAGAUGUUG
rnacentral:rRNA from 1 species